CGGCGGACGGGUGAGUAACGCGUGGGUAACCUGCCUCAUACAGGGGGAUAACAGUUGGAAACGGCUGCUAAUACCGCAUAAGCGCACAGUACCGCAUGGUACGGUGUGAAAAACUCCGGUGGUAUGAGAUGGACCCGCGUCUGAUUAGGUAGUUGGUGGGGUAACGGCCUACCAAGCCGACGAUCAGUAGCCGACCUGAGAGGGUGCCGGCCACAUUGGGACUGAGACACGGCCCAA
rnacentral:rRNA from 1 species